CUGCUGCUACUGUGGGGCGGCGCCUGCCUGCGGCUGCCCGGCGCGGCUCAGGGCGCUUUGGUCAUCCCCGGGCCGGAUGGAGGCGCCGAGGAGGCAAGACAUUCUGCCAGGCUGUUGCAG